GACGAACGCUGGCGGCGUGCUUAACACAUGCAAGUCGAACGGAAAGGCCCCUUUGGGGGUACUCGAGUGGCGAACGGGAGAGUAACACGUGAGUAACCUGCCCUGGACUUCGGGAUAACUUCAGGAAACUGGGGCUAAUACCGGAUAGGAAUCCUUGCGGCAUGGUGGGGGUUGGAAAGCUUCGGCGGUUUUGGAUGGACUUGCGGCUGAUCAGCUUGUUGGUGGGGUAGUGGCUUACCAAGGCUUUGACGGGUAGCCGGCCUGAGAGGGCGACCGGCCACAGUGGGACUGAGAUACGGCCCAGACGCCGACGGGAGGCAGCAGUGGGGAAUAUUGCACAAUGGGCGGAAGCCUGAUGCAGCAACGCCGCGUGCGGGAUGACGGCCUUCGGGUUGUAAACCGCUUUCAGCAGGGGCGAAGCUUGUGGUGACGGUACCUGCAGAAGAAGCACCGGCUAACUACGUG
rnacentral:rRNA from 1 species